rnacentral:misc_RNA from 1 species
GAUGAAGAACGUAGCGAAAUGCGAUAAGUAGUGUGAAUUGCAGAAUUCAGUGAAUCAUCGAAUCUUUGAACGCACAUUGCGCCCCUUGGUAUUCCAUGGGGCAUGCUUGUUCGAGCGUCAUUUGUACCUUCAAGCUUUGCUUGGUGUUGGGUGUUUGUCCAUUCUCUUGCAGAGGGACUCGCCUUAAAGUAAUUGGCAGCCAGUGUUUUGGUUUUGAAGCGCAGCACAAGUCGCGAUUCAAAGCUAUACGCCCGCUUCCACAAGCCUUUUUCACUUUUGACCUCGGAUCAGGUAGGGAUACCCGCUGAACUUAAGCAUAUCAAUAAGCGGAGGA